GAGCGGCGGACGGGUGAGUAAUGCUUGGGAACAUGCCUUGAGGUGGGGGACAACAGUUGGAAACGACUGCUAAUACCGCAUAAUGUCUACGGACCAAAGGGGGCUUCGGCUCUCGCCUUUAGAUUGGCCCAAGUGGGAUUAGCUAGUUGGUGAGGUAAUGGCUCACCAAGGCGACGAUCCCUAGCUGGUUUGAGAGGAUGAUCAGCCACACUGGGACUGAGACACGGCCCAGACUCCUACGGGAGGCAGCAGUGGGGAAUAUUGCACAAUGGGCGCAAGCCUGAUGCAGCCAUGCCGCGUGUGUGAAGAAGGCCUUCGGGUUGUAAAGCACUUUCAGUCAGGAGGAAAGGUUGGUGGUUAAUACCCGUUAUGUGUGACGUUACUGACAGAAGAAGCACCGGCUAACUCCGUGCCAGCAGCCGCGGUAAUACGGAGGGUGCGAGCGUUAAUCGGAAUUACUGGGCGUAAAGCGUACGCAGGCGGUUUGUUAAGCGAGAUGUGAAAGCCCCGGGCUCAACCUGGGAACUGCAUUUCGAACUGGCAAACUAGAGUGUGAUAGAGGGUGGUAGAAUUUCAGGUGUAGCGGUGAAAUGCGUAGAGAUCUGAAGGAAUACCGAUGGCGAAGGCAGCCACCUGGGUCAACACUGACGCUCAUGUACGAAAGCGUGGGGAGCAAACGGGAUUAGAUACCCCGGUAGUCCACGCCGUAAACGAUGUCUACUAGAAGCUCGGAGCCUCGGCUCUGUUUUUCAAAGCUAACGCAUUAAGUAGACCGCCUGGAGAGUACGGCCGCAAGGUUAAAACUCAAAUGAAUUGACGGGGGCCCGCACAAGCGG
rnacentral:rRNA from 1 species